GGAGUCUGGGCCGUGUCUCAGUCCCAAUGUGGCCGAUCAACCUCUCAGUUCGGCUACCGAUCGCGGUCUUGGUGAGCCGUUACCUCACCAACUAACUAAUCGGACGCGAGAUCAUCCUCAAGCGAAUAAAUCCUUUGGUCUUCAGAACAUGCGAUCCAAAGACGUUAUGCGGUAUUAGCACCGAUUUCUCGGUGUUAUUCCCCACUCGAGGGCAGAUUCCUCACGCGUUACUCACCCGUCCGCCACUAAGCUAUAAAAAGCAAGCUCCAUCAUAGCUCCGUUCGACUUGCAUGUGUUAGGCAUGCCGCCAGCGUUCAUC
rnacentral:rRNA from 1 species